ACGCUCGACACCUACGGGAGGCAGCAGUGGGGAAUAUUGCACAAUGGGGGAAACCCUGAUGCAGCGACGCCGCGUGAAGGAAGAAGUAUUUCGGUAUGUAAACUUCUAUCAGCAGGGAAGAAGAUGACGGUACCUGACUAAGAAGCCCCGGCUAACUACGUACCAGCAGCCGCGGUAAUCUGAGCGGGCUGGCAAGGC
rnacentral:rRNA from 1 species